CAAGAGUCUUAACCCUGAACAUGUGCUACUGUUAAUGCUGGACGUUCAGAGGCAGUGUGAUUCUUCUCCAGAACACUCCCGGAGCCUGAAGAGUGUCUGGAGUCAUCUAUCUUCUUUCCCAAAGUUGGAAGCCAGAAGACUAGGAUCACUCUUGAAAACUCUGCCCCUCACACAGAAACAGAGCCCUGAAUAACCAAUUUCAACCAAUGAAGAGGGUCUUACGUAAAUGAGCUUUGGGCUUCAGGAAAGUGUAUACGGGAUCAAGAAUGAAAGCUAUGGCUCCAGAGGAUGGAUUAAUGGCGGGAACCAAACUUAAAAGGAGAUCAUUGCCUUCCCCAUACCUUGAAGAGAUUAGUUACAGCCCACCUAAAGUUUAGCUAGACAACCUCUCAAGUUUCCUUCCAGCUGUAAUAUUCUAUUAUUCUAACUAACUCAUCACCAUUCUUGAUUUUUUGUA